rnacentral:rRNA from 1 species
CCUGGUUGAUCCUGCUAGUAGUCAUAUGCUUGUCUCAAACAUUAAGCCAUGCAUAUGUAAGUGUGAAUAAAUUCAGACUGGGAACUGUGAAUGGCUCAUUAAAUCAGUUAUAGUUUGUUUGAUAGUAUUUACUACUCGGAUAACCUUAGUAAUUCUAAAGGUAAUACGUGCAACAAACCCUGACUUCUGGAAGAGAUGCAUUUAUUGCAUAGAAGGUCGACGCGGGUUCUGCCCGUUGCUGCGAUGAUUCAUGAUAACUCGACGGAUCGCACGGCCAUCGUGCCGGAGACGCAUCAUUCAAAUUUCUGCCCUAUCAACUUUCGAUGGUAGGAUAGUGACCUACCAUGGUGGUGACGGGUGAUGGAGAAUUAGGGUUCGAUUCUGGAGAGGGAUCCUGAGAAACGACUACCACAUCCAAGAAAGCCAGCAGGCGUGCAAAUUACCCAAUCCUGACACGGGAAGGUAGUGAUAAUAAAUAACAAUACCGUCUCAAUAAGUCUUGUAAUUGGAAUGAGUACAAUCUAAAUCCCUUAACGAGGUUCCAUUGGAGGGCAAGUCUGGUGCCAGCAGCCGCGGUAAUUCCAGCUCCAAUAACGUAUAUUUAAGUUGUUGCUGUUAAAAAUCUCAUAGUUGGACUUUGGGAUGGGCCGACUGGUCCGCCUAUGGUGUACACCAGUCGUCUCGUCCUUUCUGUCGGUAAUGCGCUCCUGGCCUUAUCUGGCUGGGUCGUGCCUCCGGCGCUGUUACUUUAAAGAAAUUAGAGUGCUCAAAGCAAUCCUACGCUCUGUAUAUAUUAGCAUGGGAUAACAUUAUAGGAUUUCGGUCCUAUUACGUUGGCCUUCGGGGUCAGAGUAAUAAUUAACAGGGACAGUUGGGGGCAUUCGUAUUUCAUAAUCAGAGGUGAAAUUCUUGGAUUAAUGAAAGAUGAACAACUGCGAAAGCAUUUGCCAAAGAUGUUUUCAUUAAUCAAGAAUUAAGGUUGAGGGCUCGUAGACGAUCAGAUACCGUCCUAGUCUCAACCAUAAACGAUGCCGACCAUGGAUCGGCGGAUGUUGCUUUUAGGACUCCGCCGGCACCUUAUGAGAAAUCAAAGUUUUUGGGUUCCGAGGGGAGUAUGGUCGCAA